rnacentral:rRNA from 1 species
UACGUAGGGAGCAAGCGUUGUCCGGAAUCAUUGGGCGUAAAGCGCGCGUAGGUGGCCCCAUAAGUCCGCUGUGAAAGUCAAAGGCUCAACCUUUGAAAGCCGGUGGAUACUGUGGGACUAGAGUACGGAAGAGGCGAGUGGAAUUCCUGGUGUAGCGGUGGAAUGCGCAGAUAGUCAGGAGGAACACCGAUUGCGAAGGCAGCUGACGAAACUGUAACUGACACUGAGGCACGAAAGCUAGGGGAGCAAACAGG